UCUUGUAGCCAACGGAAACCUGGUAGAGCUAUGUAAUGUAAACGAAGGUGGAACAUUUCUAACCGGAGAGACCGUCAGAUGGACUAGUCCUUUAGCCGAAAUUACCCCAGCAAGCCAUUCACUCGGAGAAGUUAGUCUCUAUCAUGAUACGGAUUCUCCACGAUGUCGGGAAACUUGUAGUUCACAAACCCAAAUUCCUCAUGAUCUCGGUUUAAGGGUGAAAGUUCUGCCUUCGUCACCCGUUCUUAAGAGGAUCAUCCCUGGACGAGCUGAGGAAAUCCCCGUAGCAGAAGGAAGAAACACUGAAGUUUGAUUUGUGACAAAAGAAAAUUCGUCUUUAGUCUACCAACCAGACCAUCAUUUCUGAUCAAGAAACACCGUUAUAUUACCCCGCUGGUAACCCUUGUUGGGUUAGACUCAAGUGGCCAGGCUGAAAGCCGGAUCAUCAGACAUUAUAUUUGUUUGUAUUCUCAGUGGGAAGAAAGCGUUUGUACCGAAGUGACACAUUGAUCUAUUAAGAAUACCAGACAUAGAAAACACAAAACACGACAUUCGGGUUGGAGACGGAUAAUUGUAUUCGUGACAGCUUUAUCACCAUCCCUACAAUAAACUAUUCGACAAUAGCAGUGUUGUAAUAUAUAUAUAUAUUAAGUACAAUCACCCUUUCGCCCAUCUCAUCCGUCUUCUGUGAUUCGUAUGAUAUUACUUAUCCUUGAAACCAGGGUAAUUCUGCGGGACUAAUAUAAGCAAGAGGAGCCACUAUACGUUCAAACUGUCAACUCGAGUACUGGCCCAACCUCAAUCACCUAUUUUUAAAUGUUAGAGAAUCCUCGCUAUGUAUUACAAUCGUAUUUAUUGCUGCCUCAUGUUUACCUCUUUUUUUCUAUAUAUAUAUUUUCUGGAAUCUAAGGUGGUUCAACACCGAAGGACGACUCGAGCUGAAUGGAAACGAAACGGCGAGAAUUCUACUUUUUUUUUAAAGUAGCUUUUUGUAUGUUUAUUGGAAAUGUCAGAGCGUUUACAAUAAAAAAAACACUUCUCUUUAGUAUUAAAAAAUAUAUAGAUAUAUUUUUGUGAACCAUAAUAAAACAUCUUAUCUUUAUAAUUAGUCACUUUAAUUCGGAGCAAUCAAUAGGCAUCGUAUAAAUAAUUAUACACGCGUAAUGUAUUAAAGGUAUAGUAAGGAUGGUUUCCAAAACUAACUGAAACAUUGAAAGACCUUUUAUUGAGACGCACGACAGAAACGUUACUCUAGACUUCUAAGGUACUUAUCCACGAUCUAAGUGAAACAUUGAAAGACCUUUUAUUGAGACGCACGACAGAAACGUUACUCUAGACUUCUAAGGUACUUAUUUAUCCACGAUCUAAGUGAAACAUUGAAAGACCUUUUAUUGAGACGCACGACAGAAACGUUACUCUAG